GCGGGGUUCGGGCCCGCGAGUCCAGAGCACCCUGGAUAAGGCUACGUACGUACACGGAGGAAAGGCCCCGGUACCGCCCACGGCCCGGCAAGAAGGGUACGGGACUCCCUCCUCCUCUGUGAUUGCAGCCUCCUCCUACGCGUAUGGAAUGAGUCAACGGUUCAACAGAUCCUCAACGCAGAGCGAGAUGUUGGCAAAAGGAAGGGGCCGUGGCCAACAGGCUUGGUCUCCAGGAAGUCAGUGCCAGGACGCAGCGGUCCUGAUGCAAAGUCUUAGGAGUGGGAGAGGAGAGGCCCCGUGUUAGACCGAGGAGCCCCUCUCCUUACCUCCCACACACGCUUGUUAGGAGACAAGGUCCCCCAGCU